CCCGAAACCAGGUGAUCUACCCAUGUCCAGGGUGAAGUUCAGGUAACACUGAAUGGAGGCCCGAACCCACGCACGUUGAAAAGUGCGGGGAUGAGGUGUGGGUAGCGGAGAAAUUCCAAUCGAACCUGGAGAUAGCUGGUUCUCCCCGAAAUAGCUUUAGGGCUAGCCUUAAGUGUAAGAGUCUUGGAGGUAGAGCACUGAUUGAACUAGGGGUCCUCAUCGGAUUACCGAAUUCAGUCAAACUCCGAAUGCCAAUGACUUAUCCUUAGGAGUCAGACUGCGAGUGAUAAGAUCCGUAGUCAAGAGGGAAACAGCCCAGAUCGCCAGCUAAGGUCCCAAAGUGUGUAUUAAGUGGAAAAGGAUGUGGAGUUGCUUAGACAACUAGGAUGUUGGCUUAGAAGCAGCCACCAUUUAAAGAGUGCGUAAUAGCUCACUAGUCGAGUGACUCUGCGCCGAAAAUGUACCGGGGCUAAAUACACCACCGAAGCUGCGAAUUGAUACCAAUGGUAUCAGUGGUAGGGGAGCGUUCUAAGUGCAGUGAAGUCAGACCGGAAGGACUGGUGGAGCGCUUAGAAGUGAGAAUGCCGGUAUGAGUAGCGAAAGACGGGUGAGAAUCCCGUCCACCGAAUGCCUAAGGUUUCCUGAGGAAGGCUCGUCCGCUCAGGGUUAGUCAGGACCUAAGCCGAGGCCGACAGGCGUAGGCGAUGGACAACAGGUUGAUAUUCCUGUACCACCUCUUUAUCGUUUGAGCAAUGGAGGGACGCAGAAGGAUAGAAGAAGCGUGCGAUUGGUUGUGCACGUCCAAGCAGUUAGGCUGAUAAGUAGGCAAAUCCGCUUAUCGUAAAGGCUGAGCUGUGAUGGGGAAGCUCCUUAUGGAGCGAAGUCUUUGAUUCCCCGCUGCCAAGAAAAGCUUCUAGCGAGAUAAAAGGUGCCUGUACCGCAAACCGACACAGGUAGGCGAGGAGAGAAUCCUAAGGUGUGCGAGAGAACUCUGGUUAAGGAACUCGGCAAAAUGACCCCGUAACUUCGGGAGAAGGGGUGCUUUCUUAACGGAAAGCCGCAGUGAAUAGGCCCAAGCGACUGUUUAGCAAAAACACAGCUCUCUGCGAAGCCGUAAGGCGAAGUAUAGGGGGUGACACCUGCCCGGUGCUGGAAGGUUAAGGAGAGGGGUUAGCGUAAGCGAAGCUCUGAACUGAAGCCCCAGUAAACGGCGGCCGUAACUAUAACGGUCCUAAGGUAGCGAAAUUCCUUGUCGGGUAAGUUCCGACCCGCACGAAAGGUGUAACGAUUUGGGCACUGUCUCAACCAGAGACUCGGUGAAAUUAUAGUACCUGUGAAGAUGCAGGUUACCCGCGACAGGACGGAAAGACCCCGUGGAGCUUUACUGUAGCCUGAUAUUGAAUUUUGGUACAGUUUGUACAGGAUAGGCGGGAGCCAUUGAAACCGGAGCGCUAGCUUCGGUGGAGGCGCUGGUGGGAUACCGCCCUGACUGUAUUGAAAUUCUAACCUACGGGUCUUAUCGACCCGGGAGACAGUGUCAGGUGGGCAGUUUGACUGGGGCGGUCGCCUCCUAAAGUGUAACGGAGGCGCCCAAAGGUUCCCUCAGAAUGGUUGGAAAUCAUUCGUAGAGUGCAAAGGCAUAAGGGAGCUUGACUGCGAGACCUACAAGUCGAGCAGGGACGAAAGUCGGGCUUAGUGAUCCGGUGGUUCCGCAUGGAAGGGCCAUCGCUCAACGGAUAAAAGCUACCCCGGGGAUAACAGGCUUAUCUCCCCCAAGAGUCCACAUCGACGGGGAGGUUUGGCACCUCGAUGUCGGCUCAUCGCAUCCUGGGGCUGUAGUCGGUCCCAAGGGUUGGGCUGUUCGCCCAUUAAAGCGGUACGCGAGCUGGGUUCAGAACGUCGUGAGACAGUUCGGUCCCUAUCCGUCGUGGGCGUAGGAAAUUUGAGAGGAGCUGUCCUUAGUACGAGAGGACCGGGAUGGACGCACCGCUGGUGUACCAGUUGUUCUGCCAAGGGCAUAGCUGGGUAGCUAUGUGCGGAAGGGAUAAGUGCUGAAAGCAUCUAAGCAUGAAGCCCCCCUCAAGAUGAGAUUUCCCAUAGCGUAAGCUAGUAAGAUCCCUGAAAGAUGAUCAGGUUGAUAGGUUCGAGGUGGAAGCAUGGUGACAUGUGGAGCUGACGAAUACUAAUAGAUCGAGGACUUAACCAU
rnacentral:rRNA from 1 species